AAUGGAAAUAUAAAAUGGAUUUUGUUGAAAAUUAGCUUGAAUGAUAAUUGUUGUGGCCAUGAAAAGGGGUCAUUUGAUUGUCUUGUUGAGGGUUGAAGUAAAUUUGUAGCAUUUCUAGGGUGUUUGAGAAGUCUUUUUUGAUUUUGUAUAGCAUUAUUAUUGUACAUUUGACUUCCUAAAUGCUCUGUAUUUAAAAUAGGUACGAGCAUUUUUAGGGUGUUUGAGAAGUCUUUUUUGUUUUAUACAACAUUAUUAUUGUACAUCUGACUUCCUAAAUGCUCUGUAUUAAAUAGGUAUGAGUCCACAAAGUUGUUGCCAAGUUAAACAAAGAGGAACCACCUGUUGAGUUGAUGUUGGACCCUUAUGAUAGGCUUAACCGAAGCAAGCUGUCCAGGUAUUGUAGGUCGUGCACUUACAGUGCAACAGCCACUGUGUUAUUGGGUAUGAUUGAGAAUAGUUCAUUGUAAGAUUAUAGGCCCUCGACAAUAUUUAUCAUUACUUCCGUAAUAAUCGGCUUACGUUUGUUUUAUAUUAUUAUUUAUUUCUACUAACCUUCAGUGGCCAUAGAAGUGUUUCCUCGUCACCCGACAAGCUGAGUAGAGAAGGGACAUUAGAGGAAGCUAAAUUCCUCGUAUAACUGCUAGACGCGCCCAAAAUUGAAGACGAAGGACUUGUGCCUUCUUGAAUCCCUUUCGAAGAAAAUGAAGGAGGAGUUGAAAACUGUAAGUGGGAUGAAAGUUCUUCAAGUGGCACAUCGUCCUCUGUACUUCCAGCGUUCAUUUUUCCUAAUCGCUGCUGCGUUAUUGCUGCUGAGAGCUUAAGGCACGUUUUUGAGUCGCUGUGAAGUGGUUUGAAUGCAGGUUAAGGCUCAGUUACGCUUGACGGCCUUGGCUAGAAAACGUCACUAUCUUGUCACGUUGCAAAACAAGUACAGCGGAGGAAUACUGAUACUGGGUCAAAUUCCCCUCCAGAUGUCUCCAUGAAUAGGGAAAAUUGUAAAGAUGAGAGAAUUGGCAAUAGAACAUAGUGUGUUGGGCAGUUAACUGUCAGACUGCAGACUACAGAAUUCUCUGCCGGAACGCUGCCCGUGAGGGCCUACAGUGUACAACUAGCACUGAGAAGAUCAUCUUAACCUGAGCAACUCUGAUGCAGAAGAAAACGUUCUGGAAGAGUAUGACCCUGAUUCCGACUUAUAGUCAUCUUUGUCUGGGGUUGGAGUUGAAGACGAGGGUGUUUUUCCACGCACGGUGACAACUCAAAAUGGUGUACAAAUUAGAGUCGUGGUUACUGUGGACUUAAAGCUAUGAAUUUUUUUUUACGUGAGCAUUUCUAUUUAGUAUGAAACAACGGCAAGUAUUGUUACUCCCACACUGGAUAUAAUUUGUUUUCGGCCUCCCCCUUACAGUUAAUUAGACAAGGUCGACACUUCAGAGCAGCCCUACGAAAGUAGCUUUUGGCUGGAACGACGUGGAUAAUUCUAUACCUAUAGAAAACUUAAACUUUGUUGGAUGGACAUACGACACAAGCGCGAGACCAUUUCCCUGAAUAAUAAAAAAACAAUCAAAAUCAUCGUCCGAUGUAGAAAAUCAGUCAGGUACCGUUCCUGCG